GGUGGCUCAAUGGUAGAGCGCUUGCCUUGCACGCUUGAGGCCCUGGGUUCAAUUCCUCAGCACCA
rnacentral:tRNA from 1 species